AUUCCGCUCCCACUGUGCGCUAGAGUAAGCACUUAUUCCGCUCCCACUGUGCGCUAGAGUAAGCACUUAUUCCAAUCCUACUGUGUGCUAGAGAGUAAGCACUUAUUCCGCU